rnacentral:rRNA from 1 species
UGUCAGCCGCCGCGGUAAUACGGAGGGUGCAAGCGUUAUCCGGAUUUACUGGGUUUAAAGGGUGCGUAGGUGGGUAGGUAAGUCAGUGGUGAAAUCUUCAAGCUUAACUUGGAAACUGCCAUUGAUACUAUUUAUCUUGAAUUAUCUGGAGGUAAGCGGAAUAUGUCAUGUAGCGGUGAAAUGCUUAGAUAUGACAUAGGACACCCAUUGCGAGGGCAGCUUACUACGGAUAUAUUGACACUGAGGCACGAAAGCGUGGGGAUCAAACAGGAUUAGAUACCCUGGUAGUCCACGCCCUAAACGAUGGAUACUCGACAUCAGCGAUACACUGUUGGUGUCUGAGCGAAAGCAUUAAGUAUCCCACCUGGGCAGUACGAUCGCAAGAUUGAAACUCAAAUAAAUUGACGG